rnacentral:rRNA from 1 species
UGCGGAGGGAUCAUUACAGAGUUUUCUAAACUCCCAACCCUAUGUGAACUUACCUUUGUUGCUUCGGCGGCGGAGGCUACCCUGCGGGAGAAUACCACUUAGUGGUUACCCUGUAGUUUCAGGUACAUCAGCUACCCGGUAGUCAUCCCCGCCGGCGGCCAACUAAACUCUGUUUUCUUUGGAAUUCUGAAUAACAAACUUAAUAAGUUAAAACUUUCAACAACGGAUCUCUUGGUUCUGGCAUCGAUGAAGAACGCAGCGAAAUGCGAUAAGUAAUGUGAAUUGCAGAAUUCAGUGAAUCAUCGAAUCUUUGAACGCACAUUGCGCCCAUUAGCAUUCUAGUGGGCAUGCCUGUUCGAGCGUCAUUUCACCACUUAAGCCUUGUUGCUUAGCGUUAGGAGCCUACGGCACGGCCCGUAGCUCCUUAAAGUGAUUGGCGGAGUUGGUUCUCACUCUAAGCGUAGUAAUUAUAUCUCGCUUCUGUAGUGGUCCCGGCCCCUGCCGUAAAACCCCCUUAUACAAAGGUUGACCUCGGAUCAGGUAGGAAUACCCGCUGAACUUAAGCAUAUCAAUAAGCCGGAGGAAA